GGUCGGUUAGCUCAGUUGGUUAGAGCGUGGUACUAAUAGUCUAUCCGGAGUGUUAAGUGAUGCCAAGGCCGGGAGUUCAAGCCUCCCACUGAUCA
rnacentral:tRNA from 2 species